CGGGACGGGUGAGUAAUGUCUGGGAAACUGCCUGAUGGAGGGGGAUAACUACUGGAAACGGUAGCUAAUACCGCAUAACGUCGCAAGACCAAAGAGGGGACCUUCGGGCCUCUUGCCAUCGGAUGUGCCCAGAUGGGAUUAGCUAGUAGGUGGGGUAACGGCUCACCUAGGCGACGAUCCCUAGCUGGUCUGAGAAGAUGACCAGCCACACUGGAACUGAGACACGGUCCAG
rnacentral:rRNA from 1 species